GACGAACGCUGGCGGCGUGCCUAAUACAUGCAAGUCGAACGCAGUGGGGCCGGGUGAGUAACACGUGGGUAACCUCCCAUCAGAGGGGAAAACACUUGGAAUAAGGUGCUAAACCGAUACUGAUGGAUGGACCCGCGGUGCAUGAGCUAGUUGGUGAGGUAACGGCUCCACAAGGCCACGAUGCAUAGCCGACCUGAGGGGGUGAUCGGCCACACUGGGACUGAGACACGCCCCAGACUCCUCCGGUAGGCAGCAGUAGGUAAUCUUCGGCAAUGGACGAAAGUCUGACCGAGCAACGCCGCGUGAGUGAAGAAGUUUUUCGGGUCGUAAGACUCUGUUGUUAGAGAAACGGUAUCUAACCAGAAAGCACCGGCUAACUCCGUGCCAGCCGCCGCGGUAAUUC
rnacentral:rRNA from 1 species